UAUGUCCUACGGGGCGCAGCAGUGGGGGAUAUUGCACAAUGGGGGGAACCCUGAUGCAGCGACGCCGCGUGGGUGAAGAAGCGCCUCGGCGCGUAAAGCCCUGUCAGCAGGGAAGAAAAUGACGGUACCUGAAGAAGAAGCCCCGGCUAACUACGUGCCAGCAGCCGCGGUAAUACGUAGGGGGCAAGCGUUAUCCGGAUUUACUGGGUGUAAAGGGGGCGCAGACGGCGAUGCAAGCCAGGAGUGAAAGCCCGGGGGCCAACCCCGGGACUGCUAUUGGAUCUGCGUGGCUGGAGGGCAGGGGG
rnacentral:rRNA from 1 species